rnacentral:lncRNA from 10 species
UGUGGUAAUUUAUUGUGGAGCAAUAGAAAACUAAUAUAAUGGUCUGAGAGGUGGGAAGGUUUCUUUGAUGGCCCAUCAUCAAACACAUUAUGUACUCACGAACUAUGUACCAAAAAAAAAAUUAAUGUCUUGGCAAGACAAAUGUCCAUGAAGAUAAAUUACAAUCUUUCUCCCAUUGAUUGCCACAACCACAGGUCAUGUAUACUUUUCUUGCACAGCCACAACCAUGUAUGCCACUCAGCAUGAUGUCACCUUGCUAAAAUAAGGGAAUAUUCAGAGCAGAGCUGACUCAUCUCAAUGACAGGGCUCAUUGAGUGGACAUAAAUCUCUAUGAAGACCUGAAAAGGGGUGAAUUUGUUGUUUGUUGGUUGGUUUGUUUUGAGCCACUCUUUUAAUGUUCUUUUCACGGUUAAACAAGAAAAUAAAUGACAUGGGCCUCUGGCGAGUUAAAACUGGCUCAGUACCCAAGCACCAAUUCAUUAAAAGCAUUUGUGGAUUCAAAAGGAAAAGCAAAUUUUAAAAAUGUUUAAUACUUUUUGUUGAAA